UUAUUCCUUUUCUUUCUUUCUUUCUUUCUUUCUUGUAGAUUUCGUCCUUACCAAACGACGGGCGACGGUUAUGGUUGCGGCGUUUGUUUUGAUUUUUUGGUGCAGGUAGAUUUUCUUUGGUCAUCUUGGUUAUGCUGUCAUGGUGGAUUUGCAUUCCCUUCGGAUCCAGAUCUGAUCAAGGCGAUUUAGCGGAGAAAAAGAAAGGAUGCUGCCUGCGAUCUCGAUUUGACUUUUUAGCAAAUGAUGGUGAACGAUUGAUUGAUUCUCUUUGUUCAUGAAUUGUCGAUUAAUGUGUAUUUGUGAUUACGAUGUGUCAUAACAACUCGAUCUUUGCCAUGUUGGGUGCGCUCGCAUGGCAGAUCACCGGAAACUUUAAUAAAGUUCAGUUUUUUUGGUUGGGAGAGAAGACCACGGUUGGAUAGUUUUUUUUAUAUCCCCGGGGUCUUUCUCUCCAUGGUGGCAUGGUCUUUAUUUUUUUUAUCGCCUUUUUCCAUGGUUUCCGUUUCGUCUCUUUCUAUCUAUCGUCUCACGACAAGAGUUUUCCGAUCGAUUCGAUUCUGAGCCAGGUCGAACUGGUAAAUGAUUUAUUUUUCAUAAGUCGAUUCCAUACGUUCCCUCAAAUCGCAAACCCCCAAAAAUUGCAUACCAUCAUUAAAUUAUUCAUACUAAAUUAAUUGCUCACGGAUCUAAUUUACUGUGUAUUGAAGAAUUUGAUGUCGUUUUCUAUUUUUUUUGUUUGUUAAUUUUGUCAAUUGUAAAUUUUCUAUCCUACAUCUGUAAGAGUUUUUUUGUACCUCCAUAUUUGUUACAUUUGUAUAAUUUAUUUGCUGUGCAAAGUCUUGACGGUUGCUGUUUGUGGCUCGUGGCUUGAUGAUGUAUUGAUUGAAGAAAAUCUUGCUAUGGAUGGUGGAAGAGUGGCUGGUUGCUGUUUGUUCCCGUGACUUGAUGAUGUUUUGUUUGAAAGAAAAUCUUGCUGUGGAUGAGGGAAGACUAACUGGACUGCACAGGUUGUUUUAAUUACAACUUCACAAUUUCUACAUUACUCUUCUUUUUGUCAGAAAUUAAGUAUCUGGGUUUAUAUUUUUCAAUCAUUGUGAGUUUUUCAUUUUUUUCUUAAUACAGUUUUAUCCUAUUUUGGUUAUUUACAGUAAUUUGCUCAUUAAUCUGGCUUUCAAUUUAUUUCAAUAUCUUUAAAUAUUACACUUCUUUUUGUCAGAAAUCAAGUACUGAGUUUAUAUUUUUCAAUCAUUGUGAUCUUUUCAUUUUAUUGGUAAAACAGUUUUAUCCUAUUUUUGUUAUUUUCAGCAAUUUGCUCAUUAAUUCGGCUUUCAAUUUAUUUCAUUCUCUUUACAUAUUACAUGAUUCAGAAGACCCAAUUGUUCUUUAACUCCGCCCAUGGUGUAUUAGAAGUAAACCAUUGCCGGUCCCCAGCCCGGAACAAAGGAGGAGGGAAGGAUAUCAUAUUUAUGGUAGAUCGUUGUUUUUUUUACUCUUAUGAUUUUUUUAAUCCCAGUAGUUACAUAUUUCUAAAUAUUUGAGUGAUUUUACCAUGAUGAAAAGAUAUGGGAGGUGGAAUGCCUAUGAUCGUCAAUUCACUUGAUCAUUGAAGUCGUCCUGCUGGAGUUUGAUGAUUUUGUUUCACAAUUUACAUAUAGAAUUACUUGUUUACUAUUUGAACUUGAUUCUUGGUAUUAAAAUAAUUAAAACUAUUGUUUGUUAUUAGAUAUUUUAAUCAGAUUAAUUUUAUAAUUCAAUCGAAAAAUGUAUUGUGUUGGUUCGUGAUUUGUUAAGAUUUCAUAUUUUAUUAUUGAAAGUGCUUAUAGAAGAGUUAUUGAUAUUGAAUGAGGUAUUCUCACGUGUACAAGGAAAACUUUGUAUGUAGAUUGAAAAUGAGUCUUUAUGGCACGAAACAAGAACAGAGACCGAGGUACAUGUAUGUGAUUUGACUCUAUUACAACGGUGUCUAGGCUAUAAGAAGUAUAACAAUGAUCCCUGUUAGGGGUGAGAAAACCUAAUUCUAACCUUAACCGUAUACAGUACCCAGUCGGUCAGGUACUCGGUCAGGUAAGGGUACAAGGACGCAAAAUUCCCGAUCAUUGUUAUAUUGGUAUGGGUAUUAAAAUCUACCUCAGAAAAAUAUUACAAGCUAAUUAGAAGAGGGUUGAUAUUGUAUUUAAGGAAAGAACUUGGAUAUGGAUUAAACUCCAAACCUACAGACAGGAGUCUGUUGUUAAUAGGGUACACAACAAACUUGAACGGAAGUAUUUUAGUCCUUAUCAAGUCGAAAGAAAAAUUAAUAAUGCUGCUUAUAAAUUGAAGUUGUUGAAAGGAAGUAAGAUACAUGAUAUAUACCUUUCAUAUGUCAAGGCUCAAGGUAUUCCAAGGAACCAUUCCCGAAGAGGUGACUACUGAGAAGUGAGAACCCAUUGGUGACUGUCAACAAUCGACCUAUCAUAUAUCCUAUGGCCAUAUUAGAUAUAUGAGUUUAUUUGGCAAGGUAAAAAUAAAAUCAAACAGGAAGUGAGUCUUUAAUUACCAGAGGACUCUGUUAAAAAGCUGACGUUGAUCCAACGACGGGAUUGGGAGAUGGGAGACGACUCCGGCGACAAAGCUCGCCGUCCGGCGAGAAAUAGAAUGAGAAAGAGGGAAAGAAGUAGGUUAAUUAGAUUAACUACUAAAGUAGCCGUUAUACACUGUAGAAGUGUAAUUAGCUACUAAGUGUGUAAUCUGUGUAAAAUCAUAUAUCUUAAACUUGUUAAUUACAAGAGUUAUUUAAACUGAAAUUAACACUAACUAACUUAACUAAUACAACUAAUAACAUUAAUCGGUUAAUUGGAUCUUUAAUCAGACAUUGAUCCAAAUACCCAAUUACUUUUAUUUAAGUGGGUAAACUUGCAGUUUGAUCCUCGUACUCUUCUAUAUUCUUUUACGGCCUUUAAGUGGGUAAACUUGCAGUCCAGUCCUUGUAUUUCUUUUAUUCUGUUAAGUGGGUAAACUUGCAGUUUUAGUCCUCGUUCUUUUGUAUAAUCUUUGAUGGCCUUUAAGUGGGUAAACUUGCAGUUCAGUCCUCACGUUCCUUUUUAUUUUGUUAUUUGUUUUUAAGUGGUAAAGAUUGCACAUUGAACCUUACAGUUUCUUUCUUAGUUAAAACUGUAAGUAUCUCUGUUUUACUUAUUCUCAAUUAAGUCCAAUUCAGUAAUUAUGUGUUAAUUACUUCUUUACUCCCCCCUCAAGCUCUGGAGUAGAUAUUUAUUACUCCAAGUUUGACAGAGGCUGAAGUAAUUUCAUGUUCCCCCAUGGGUUUAGUGAACAUGUCUGCUAAUUGAUAUUUGGUUCCAAUUUGCUUAAGAUUGAAUACCCCUUGGGUGAUUAAUUCUCUAACAAAAUGGCAAUCUAUUUCUAUAUGCUUUGUUCUCUCAUGGAAAACAGGGUUAUUAGCAAGGUGAAUUGCUGAUUUGUUAUCACAAAAUAUUGUUGUUUCAUUUCUAGUUUUUAUUUUCAUUUCUUUAAUUAGUUGGUGAAUCCAUACUAAUUCACAAGAUGUUUGAGCUAUUGCUCUAUACUCAGCUUCACAAGAUGAUCUUGAUAUUGUAGCUUGCUUUUUGGAUUUCCAAGAUAUUAUGGAGCUUCCAAUUAGGAUGCAAAACCCAGUUACAGAUUUUCUGCUAAUUUGGCAUCCAGCCCAGUCAGAAUCACAAUAGGCUUGGAUGUUCAAGUUUUCACUUGUUUUAUAUAGAAUGCCCUGCCCUGGGGCUCCUUUUAAAUAUCUCAGUACUUUAAAGAGUGUUUUUAAAUGAAUUUCUCUUGGAUCACUCAUGAAUUGACUUAGCCAGUGUACUGCAUAGCUUAGGUCAGGUCUGGUGAUGUUAAGAUAUAUUAGCUUUCCCACUAACUUCCUAUAGAAGGUUGGAUCUUUUAUUGGUUUGGAUUCACUUUUGAGAUCUAUAUUUUUCUCAAUGGGUAUUUUGGACUCUUUUGCACCUAAGAUGCCACUUUCCUUAAGUAUUUCUAGUGCAUAUUUUCUUUGUGUUAAUAAGGUUCCUUCACUGGAAUAUAAUACUUCUAUUCCUAGAAAGUAGUUUAGUUUUCCAAGAUCCUUUAGUUUAAAUUUAUUUUCUAGUUGAAUUUUGAGGAAUGCUAUUUCUAGCUCAUUACUGCCUGUGAUGAUUAUAUCAUCUACAUAGACAAUUAGGUAUAUUAAAUUUUCAUUUCUCUCUCUUAUGAAUAGAGAGUAAUCUGAUUUUGUUUGAGAGAAUCCAAUCUCUAAUAGAGUGUUUCUCAGUUUCUCAAACCAGUUUCUAGAGGCCUGUUUGAGGCCAUAUAAGGAUUUUUUGAGUUUACAUACUCUUUUAUCUCCUUCUUGGAGUAAUCCUUGAGGUGCCUUUAGAUAUACUUCCUCAUGGAGAUCACCAUGUAGGAAGGCAUUAUUGACAUCUAUUUGAUAUAGAUUCCAUCUUUUUUGUGUUGCAAGAGUAAUUAAUAGCCUUACUGUGGUCAUUUUUGCAACUGGUGCAAAAGUUUCAUAGAAAUCAAAUCCCUCUUUUUUGAGAGAAACCUUUUGCCACUAGCCUUGCUUUAUAUCUCUCAAUUUCUCCAUUUGGCUUAUACUUGAUUUUGUAUAUCCAUUUAGAGCCUACUGCUUUCCUUCCUUUAGGAAGUUCAGUUAUAUCCCAAGUUUUAUUUGAGAUGAGGGCUUCCAUCUCAUUUUUCAUUGCAUCUAUCCAUUUUGGAUCUUUAGAUGCUUCAUUAUAUGUGUUAGGUUCUAUAUUGUUAUUAACUUGUUUGAGAAAUUCCUUGUGUUUGGGAUUUAUCCUAUGAUAUGAUACAUAGUUGCUCAUGGGGUAUUUAAUUUUGCUUUUUGACUUAUCAUCCAUAUAGAAUUCAUCAAAAUGCUUGGGUUUAGUUACUACCCUCCCCAACCUUGNNNNNNNNNNNNNNNNNNNNNNNNNNNNNNNNNNNNNNNNNNNNNNNNNNNNNNNNNNNNNNNNNNNNNNNNNNNNNNNNNNNNNNNNNNNNNNNNNNNNNNNNNNNNNNNNNNNNNNNNNNNNNNNNNNNNNNNNNNNNNNNNNNNNNNNNNNNNNNNNNNNNNNNNNNNNNNNNNNNNNNNNNNNNNNNNNNNNNNNNNNNNNNNNNNNNNNNNNNNNNNNNNNNNNNNNNNNNNNNNNNNNNNNNNNNNNNNNNNNNNNNNNNNNNNNNNNNNNNNNNNNNNNNNNNNNNNNNNNNNNNNNNNNNNNNNNNNNNNNNNNNNUCCCUCUUUUUGAGAGAAACCUUUUGCUACUAGCCUUGCUUUAUAUCUCUCAAUUUCUCCAUUUGGCUUAUACUUGAUUUUGUAUAUCCAUUUAGAGCCUACUGCUUUCCUUCCUUUAGGAAGUUCAGUUAUAUCCCAAGUUUUAUUUGAGAUGAGGGCUUCCAUCUCAUUUUUCAUUGCAUCUAUCCAUUUUGGAUCUUUAGAUGCUUCAUUAUAUGUGUUGGGUUCUAUAUUGUUAUUAACUUGUUUGAGAAAUUCCUUGUGUUUGGGAUUUAUCCUAUGAUAUGAUACAUAGUUGCUCAUGGGGUAUUUAAUUUUGCCUUUUGACUUAUCAUCCAUAUAGAAUUCAUCAAAAUGCUUGGGUUUAGUUACUACCCUCCCCAACCUUGUUUUUACAAUUUUAUUUGUUUCAGUCUUGCUUUGUGUAUCAUUAUUUUGAGGUAAUUGUUCCUUUUCUUCAUGAUUGGUUGCAAAGCUUUGUUCUGAGCUUUGUUUUUCAGUAUGUGCCUUUUUUUCUUGAUUAUUGAUGAGGAGUUGGUUUUGAUUCUUAUUAGAGUAAUUGUUUUCAAAAUCCUCUGAAAUAUGUGAUUUUUCUUUUUCAGUUGAGGACUGGUCAGACUGAUUAUUUUCAGUUAUUUCUGACUUGUCCAGAGCAAUCCUGUUUUGAUUUUUAUGAAAUCCAGGAUGUUCUAUAGUUUGUUCUGCGGUUCCUAGAGUGUUUUGUGUUUUGGAUUCCUUAUUAUCCAAUUUUUCUGAAAUUUUUAUUGAAAUUCCAGAGUUUUGUGUUGCUCUAGAAUCUAAUUCAUUGAAUGCUUCUUGAAUUGGGAAUAUGUUCCUUUCUCUAUUUUCAUUAAUUUUUGGUUUUAUUUGAUGGAGUGGAAAAAUAUCUUCUCUAAACACUACAUCUCUACUUAUAUGAAAUUUUUCAUUUUCUAAGUCAAGUAUUAAAUAUCCUUUUGUGUUUGGAGGAUAUCCCAUGAAUAUUCCCUUAAAUGUUCUUGGGGAAAACUUAUGUUCUUUAUGAUGUGUUGUUGCAUAGCAUAAGCAUCCAAAAGUUCUUAAGAGGUUAUAUUUUGGUUUUUGCUCAUGUAGAACUUCAAAUGGGGUUUUAUUUUCUAGAACUUUUGAUGGAAUCCUAUUUAUUAUAUAGGUUGCAGCUAAUAUGCACUCUCCCCAAUAUUUUAAAGGAAUAUUAGCUUGCAUAUGUAAAGCUCUAGCUAUGUUUAAUAGGCACUUGUGUUUUCUUUCAACCCUUGCAUUUUGCUGAGGGUUGUAAGGACAAGUGACUUGAUGUAUGAUUCCAUAGCUCUCAAGCAUUUCUCUAAAUUUAUUUGAUUUAAAUUCACCCCCAUUAUCACUCCUUAUUGCUUUAAUAUUUUUAUUAAAAAAGUUUUUGACUUUAGUUAUGAAUUUCUUAAUACAUUCAUAAGCAAUGGCUUUGUCUUUAAUUAAGUAAAUCCAAGUUGAUCUACUUAGAUCUUCUACAAUGGUUAAAAAAUAUUUGAAACCAUCAUGAGUUUCAAUUGGGAAUUUGCCCCAAAUAUCAAUAUGGAUUAGAUCAAAUAGAUUUUUACUCACUACAAAAAACCAGCGCAGUUCUGGCGGCAAAUUCCGGCGGCCUGGCCGCCGGUAUAAUGGUUCCUGGCGGCCAAGCCGACGACAUUCCAUCGCCGGAAGUGAUGUCGCCGGAAUUGUGAAAUCCUGGCGGCUUGGCCGACGGCAAAAAAAUUUGGAUUCCGAUUUUAACAGAAAUUGUCCCGGCGGCUUAGUCGNNNNNNNNNNNNNNNNNNNNNNNNNNNNNNNNNNNNNNNNNNNNNNNNNNNNNNNNNNNNNNNNNNNNNNNNNNNNNNNNNNNNNNNNNNNNNNNNNNNNCGUCUAACCUACGUUCUUCCGUAGGUGAGGUUUACUCUUGGACACUUGCCCCUCUGUCUACAUUUUUGUAGAAUGGGGUGUGUGUUUAGCCGACGUGUCCCCCGUCUAACCUACGUUCUUCCGUAGGUGGGGUUCACUUUUGCCGAUGUGUUCCCCGUCUAACCUACGUUCUUCCGUAGGUGGGGUUCACAUUUGCCGAUGUGUUCCCCGUCUAACCUACGUUCUUCCGUAGGUGGGGUUCACUUUUGAGUACGUCCCUCGUCUAACACUACGUUUCCGUAGGUGAGGUUCACUCUUUGCCGAUGUGUUCCCCGUCUAACCUACGUUCUUCCGUAGGUGGGGUUCACUUUUUAGUAUAUCCCUCGUCUAACACUACGUUUCCGUAGGUGAGGUUCACUCUUUGCCGAUGUGUUCCCCGUCUAACCUACAUUCUUCCGUAGGUGGGGUUCACUUUUGAGUAUAUCCCUCGUCUAACACUACGUUUCCGUAGGUGAGGUUCACUCUUGCCUUGGAUGGGAUACGCAUCCUGACUCUGUUACCAUUAAGACUUUCUCUAUCCACGUUCUUCCGUAGGUAGAGUUAAUUUGGCGUCUUACUUUGUUACUGCGUCCAGUAAUAGUAGGAGUUCAAAUAUCUCUAUAUGGCUCAGCUCAUUUUGCUGCCGUAUCCCUGUCCGAGUUGUGGACUUCCACGAUUCCUCAGGAGCAUUUUGUGUUACACCCUCCUGUCUUGGUGUGCCUCCGCAACUCCAACCUGUCUGGGUUCUUUUUUCUGCACCCCUUUUAUGUGGGAAGAAAAAGUCUAUCCCUUGUUGAUUCUGCUCGACUUUUGCUAAAUGUCGAUCCCUUAGCGAGUUUGGUCGACUUUUCGAAAUGUCGAUCCCUUGUUGAAUUUGGUCGACUUUUGUCAAAAGUCGAUCCCUUGUGAUAAAAAGUCGAUUUAGACAUUUUUGUCCUUUUGUGCUGUCCUAGGGUCUAUAAAUAGGACCCCUAGGUUCUUCUUUUCCUUCAUCCAUCCAUGGCUCUUCUUGUGAGUCUCUUUGCUGAUUUUAUUCAGNNNNNNNNNNNNNNNNNNNNNNNNNNNNNNNNNNNNNNNNNNNNNNNNNNNNNNNNNNNNNNNNNNNNNNNNNNNNNNNNNNNNNNNNNNNNNNNNNNNNNNNNNNNNNNNNNNNNNNNNNNNNNNNNNNNNNNNNNNNNNNNNNNNNNNNNNNNNNNNNNNNNNNNNNNNNNNNNNNNNNNNNNNNNNNNNNNNNNNNNNNNNNNNNNNNNNNNNNNNNNNNNNNNNNNNNNNNNNNNNNNNNNNNNNNNNNNNNNNNNNNNNNNNNNNNNNNNNNNNNNNNNNNNNNNNNNNNNNNNNNNNNNNNNNNNNNNNNNNNNNNNNNNNNNNNNNNNNNNNNNNNNNNNNNNNNNNNNNNNNNNNNNNNNNNNNNNNNNNNNNNNNNNNNNNNNNNNNNNNNNNNNNNNNNNNNNNNNNNNNNNNNNNNNNNNNNNNNNNNNNNNNNNNNNNNNNNNNNNNNNNNNNNNNNNNNNNNNNNNNNNNNNNNNNNNNNNNNNNNNNNNNNNNNNNNNNNNNNNNNNNNNNNNNNNNNNNNNNNNNNNNNNNNNNNNNNNNNNNNNNNNNNNNNNNNNNNNNNNNNNNNNNNNNNNNNNNNNNNNNNNNNNNNNNNNNNNNNNNNNNNNNNNNNNNNNNNNNNNNNNNNNNNNNNNNNNNNNNNNNNNNNNNNNNNNNNNNNNNNNNNNNNNNNNNNNNNNNNNNGAAUAAAAUAAACAAACACUAAAUUAAAAUGAAUUAAACCUAAAUAACAUAAAUCAUGUACACUUAAUUAUUCAAUAACACUUCAAUAACAUAAAUCAUGUACACUAAAUAACAUAAAUCAUUCAUUAUUCAAUAACACUCAAUAGUAACAAAUAACAAUAACACAUACAUAAAUAACAAUAUAAGAUACAACACAUACACUCAUCAUGGUAUUUUAUUUAAAAGAAAUCUGAUUUAAACCUUAGGAUUGCUACAACACAUAUAAGAUACACAUAGAAAGCAAAAGAGCAUCAUGAUAUUUUAUUUGAGAAAUCUGAUUUAAGUGCACAGUAACUUAAGUGCACAGUAACUUAUAUAACUAUUUAAGUGCAUGUGAUCCAUUUAAGUGCAUGUGAUCCAUUUAAGUGCACAGUAACAGUGUAAUCAACUAUUACCGAUUCUUUCAAAGUAACUUUAUUUACUUGUUUAGUCACACGUAGUCCUACUAAAUCAAUUGAAAAAAAUAAUGACGAACAAGAAAAAUAUUCGAUCAGUCAUUUAUGAGUCAGCAAGGCAUAAGACUAGUCUGUAGUCGAUGACAUGAUCGGAAGGUAGACCAUAGGGAUGUAUAAUCUUUUGAUUUAUGAUUAAUGAGAGUUCAAAAUAUUCCCCUAGAAUAUAAUUAAUGAUUUAAUGUAUAGUGUUUUAUAUUGGAGGCUUGGAGCAGGUGAGCCACGGUCAAUGUUUUUGAGAUUUUGAGAAAAUUUAAAACCCUGAAAUCCAUAAAUACCUAAAUUGAAAAAUUGGUAAAUAUCUAAAUGAAUAACUAAGAAGAAGAGUCUACAAAAAGAGAAGAUUUCUGAGAAGGAGUGGUCGAAGGCAAUGAGGAUAUCAGCAUUGGCGAUCCACAUGGGGACGAAUGGGAGGUCAAGCCCCAAUACGGAUUUAUUUAACUAAGCUUCAUAUAAAACACAAACAGAGAAAGAUAUCUAACUAAGGUCAUAGCUAACAGAAAAUAGACCAUGUGAUUAUACUUUGAUAAUUAAAAUUACAGGGAGAAACUAACUAAGAUCCAUGAUUUAUAAAAUUAGAUGAAAAGGAUAAUACACUGAGAUAAAAUACAACAGAUUCAUUCUACAAAACUCAUGAAAAUGAUAAACCUGAAAAUGAGAGAAAGGAAAUGAGAGGAUCGCGAGUUUUAGGGAGAAAGGACGAUUGGGAUUUUAGUUAUGGUUUAUAUUUUAUUCAGAGUAAAUUCCUUUAGGAAAUGAGAGAAAAAGAUGAAGAACCCCAAAUCCCAAAAUCAAAAAACCCCAAAUCAUAAACCUCAAAUCAUAAACAACAACAAAAAAUGAGAGAAAAGGAUGAAGAACAUACCUUUAGGAAUAACUUCGAAGAUCACCGGAGAUAAAUGGCUGGAAGAUCACCGGAGACAAGUUGGGGGAGGGUUUGGGUGGAGUGGGAGAAGUGGAGAGGAUUUUGGGAGGAAAUAAAAUGAAACGAUUCUGGAAUUUUUUUCUUAUAUAAAAAAUUUCCGGCGGCCAGGCCGUCGGGAAACACUAAAGUUUAGUUUGACUGUACGGGGGACCACGACGGCGCAAGUUGUAAAUUUAGGGUUUUCCAAAAAUUUCUGGCGGCCAGGCCGCUGGCUACUGAAAAAAACAAGCGGGAAAAAGUAUCCAGCGGCCAGGCCGCCGGGAAUUUUUCUCCCGACCGUUGUUGAAUUGGAGCUGGCGGCCAGGCCGCUGGAAUUUUUUACAAAAAAAUAUUCCGUCGGCCUAGCCGCCAGAAAUUUUCUCUCAUUUACGAGGGAAAAUUAUGCAGGCGGACAAGUGUAAGAUUCCGGCGGCCAGGCCGACGAAAGUAUCUACCGGCGGCCAGGCCGCCGGGAGAUGGGCGCCAGAACUGCGCUGAUUUUUUGUAGUGACUUAUUGUUGAACUUUUGGGGUAUUUGAGUUUACUUUGUUUAGAUAAUGGGCAAAUAUCACAUUCUUUAUUUUGAAAAAACGAAAUUUUAUUAUCACAAUCAUCCAAAACAACAUUCUUUACAUUUUUAAGAAUACAAUCUACUUGCUGAUUUUUAACUAAUAUAGCAAGCUUUUCAUUUGAUAUAUGUCCAAGCCUGUUAUGCCAGACUUUAGAGUGUAUAGAUGUGUUUGCAUAUGCUGAGGGAGUGUAGUUGAACAGAUAGAGUCCAUCUUGGCACCUACCCUUCCCAAUCACUCUCUUUGACUUGUUUUCCUGAAAAUAACAAUUUUCAUUAUCAAAUAGUAUUUUCAGUUUAUUAUCAAGAACUAUCUUGCUUACUGAUAUUAAGUUUACCUUAAAUUGAGGUAUGUAUAACACAUCUUCUAAAAUUAUGUUUUUAGAAAUUGUUAUUUUUCCUGUGAAUUUUGUGUUGCAUAUCUCACCACUUGGGAUGGUGACAAAAUGAUCACCACUCUCAGUUGGUGGUUUAUCAAAGUACUUGAGGUUCCCAGUCAUGUGUUGGGAGGCCCCAGUAUCUAUGAUCCAAUUUGUUCUAAAAUUUAUCAUAUUAUAAGCAUGGUUCAUUUUAAAAUUCAAAAAAUUGAAAGCAUAAAUCAUACCAUUUGAUUGGAAGAAGUCUUUGAGCAUUCGUAGCUCUUCAUUUGACAUCCCUGGUAUUAUAGAUGUUGAGGAAGAGGCUUGAUUGGCUGAGUCAGUUUUAGCCUUUUUGAACCUAUUCCCUUUCUUGUUUUCUUUGUUUUUGUCAUUUGGGAAGCCUAUGAUAUGAAAGCAUUCCUUCCUAAUGUGCCCAUAGUAUUUACAGUUGUCACAGUAUUUGAAGGUAUCCAAUUUCUUUCCAUUCUUACUGUAAAGCCCUUUUCCCUCUUCUUUUUCAUUAGCCUUUUUGGCAAAUAGGGCAGAGGUUUCUGUUUUGGAUUUAUCAUCCCUGAAAUUUAUUUUCUGGUUUUCUUCUUGUAUAAUAAGAUAGAAAACCUUGCUCAUGCUUGGCAAUUCAUCAUAAGAGAGUAUUUGCCCUCUUAUGGUUUUGAAAUCCUCAUUCAGUCCUAAUAGGAACUGAUGGAUUUUAUCUUUCUCCAUUUUAUCAGAGUACUUAGGAGCACAUAUCUUGCAAAAAAUUAUUUCUUCUAGCUCUAUCUUUUGAUUCCAGAGAGCUUUGAAUUUAUCAUAAAAGCUUGUAACACUAUCAUUACCUUGAUGCAAAUUAUUGAGUUCAUACCUUAUUUGGUUAACCUUAGGUGCAUUGCCUUGGUUAUAUCUUUCUUGAAGAUCCUUCCAUGCUAUGUAAGCUUCUUCAGUGUGCAUUAGCGUGGAUGAGAUUUGAGGAUCAACACUAUUUACUAUCCAUGAUAGUACUAGUCCAUUCACUGUUUCCCAUGCUUCAAACUCCCUCCCUGAUCUAUCCUCUGGUCUUUUAACUUUUCCAUUAACAAAAGCUAUUUUCCUUCUUGAAAUCAAUGAUAACUUCAUAGCAUUGGCCCAACUUUGAUAAUUUGAUUCACCCUUUAGUUUGUCAGCCACCAUGAGAGCUCCUGGAUGGUCACCUGAAUUCAAAUAGUAAAUUGACUCUUUAUCAUUUAUAGCAGAGACAUAUGCAUGUGACCUCUUGUGUUUGGAGCUGUGGGAUGACUUGUGGGUGUGGGUUCUGUGCUGCUUGGAUGAAGCAUGAUUUUUCCGAGAAGGAGAUUUCAUAAUUGAUGGGGGAGAUGGGGAACCUGAUGGACUUGAACCGGAUUGAUUCUCCCUGUCCUGAGUGCCGAUGGAUUCUUUUCCUGCGGAAGCGUAGUCGAUCUUGCCAGUAGAUACCACGUUAAAAAGCUGACGUUGAUCCAACGGCGGGAUUGGGAGAUGGGAGACGACUCCGGCGACAAAGCUCGCCGUCCGGCGAGAAAUAGAAUGAGAAAGAGGGAAAGAAGUAGGUUAAUUAGAUUAACUACUAAAGUAGCCGUUAUACACUGUAGAAGUGUAAUUAGCUACUAAGUGUGUAAUCUGUGUAAAAUCAUAUAUCUUAAACUUGUUAAUUACAAGAGUUAUUUAAACUGAAAUUAACACUAACUAACUUAACUAAUACAACUAAUAACAUUAAUCGGUUAAUUGGAUCUUUAAUCAGACAUUGAUCCAAAUACCCAAUUACCCAAUUACUUUUAUUUAAGUGGGUAAACUUGCAGUUUGAUCCUCGUACUCUUCUAUAUUCUUUUACGGCCUUUAAGUGGGUAAACUUGCAGUCCAGUCCUUGUAUUUCUUUUAUUCUGUUAAGUGGGUAAACUUGCAGUUUUAGUCCUCGUUCUUUUGUAUAAUCUUUGAUGGCCUUUAAGUGGGUAAACUUGCAGUCCAGUCCUCACGUUCCUUUUUAUUUUGUUAUUUGUUUUUAAGUGGUAAAGAUUGCACAUUGAACCUUACAGUUUCUUUCUUAGUUAAAACUGUAAGUAUCUCUGUUUUACUUAUUCUCAAUUAAGUCCAAUUCAGUAAUUAUGUGUUAAUUACUUCUUUAGACUCGUCAUUGGAGUCAUAUGUUGCGGUUGCGGAGCUAGCUGUUUCCGUUCUUAAACCUUGAGGAUAAGGUCGUGCUUGAAAAGGAGGGAGAUGAUACUGAUAAAAUCAUAAUCGUGGUUAGGAUUAACACAUAUUAAAAAGAAUGGAUCAAAAUAGAGAAUCAACAAUAUUCACAGACAGUGGCCGGAGGCACAGUUGAAACACAAGAGUCGCGAGAUUUAGGAACGGGGUUUCCCUAUUUUUGUAUUAAUAAAAUAAAAUGCGAAAAGUUAAAUUACAAAUAAUGUAUUAUCCUAUUUAUAUUAAACCCUAAUUACCUAAUAUUUAGUUGGCUCAUUUGAUAUACAAAUUGAAAAUUCGUGAUGGCUUUUAGUCCAUUUACUUUAAUAGAUACGAGAGAGAUCGACUAUGCAACUAUAUCGGAGGAUAUCCAGAAGUUAUAAUAUAUAAUGAUUUAUAAUAUAAAUAUAUAAUAUAUAAAUAUAGAACAAACAUCAGAGAAGCCCACACCAAGAGAAGCUCAAAAGCGUCCUCUCAUCUGGGCUGUCGAAAUUUUAAAAUUAGUUUGUGAAAUGGAUGAUUGAAUGUGAGCUGUUCAUUAGUGUAAUGAUAAAUUUUAUCUUAAAGCAUGUUUUAUAGUAGGUUUUGAUGUCUGAUUUUGUACUAUUAUGUCUCAAAAAUCUUCCAUAAGACUCACAUCUUCUCUCUCACAACUGCCAUUUCUUCGAAAAUCACUAUUCAUCUCUAUUUUCCCACCAUCACCACUCUCUCUCAUUUCUUACACUUUUUCGUUUUCUCCCAUUUCCUUCCAUUCUCUCUACCGAAGUCCGUUGUCUCUCCGGUAAAGUGUUCCUCGAACAAUGUUUCCGCGCCAUUAGUAUUUGUGGUCGUCUUUGUCGGUCUCUAUUUCCGCUGUCGCCGUCUCAGUUUCCGCGUUCGCCGUCUCUGUUUCCGCGUUCGCCGUCUUUCCUGUCACUACGUGUGGUUCCUGUCGCCGGUUGUCUUUCAUCUUGUCCUUUGUCCUCGCCGAUCAACAAAAGGUUAGUGAUGUCCUCGUUUUCAGUUUUUUGUUUUUUAAUGUUCACCAUUCUCCCUUCCCGAUUUCUCCGAAUCCAACUCCGACCACUCUUCCAAUGUCAACUUAUUUUUGUACAUUAUGUUUUUGCUUUUUUUUAACUAUUAGUGUUUUUGAUUCUUUAUCAUAUCUCCCCAACCCCUUCUUCUCUGUUUUUUAUUAAAUUAUGUUGAUGUCGUAAAUGUCGUGAUUUAUGUUCUUCCCCCCUUCGUCAUCUCUGAUAAUUUGUCUUUAUUUUUUUUCCGUACGUAAUAUCCUUUUUAUGAACCCAUGUUGUAUUUUUUAUUCUGAAUGUAUCGUGUUCAUUUAUAUGUCAGACGUAUUAUUCCCCAAUACGUUCAUGUAGUCCCCGAAAUUCAUGAGUUGUAUUUCGAGAAGUAGUUGAUUUCCUUAUGUUUGUGUUCCGUAAUUUUUUUUUUUGCAAACAUAAUAUCAUUUCAUAUUUGAAUCCUGCUUGUUUUAUGUUGUGUUGUUUUCAUACAUAUGGAUGCUCGAAGAGGAACAGGCGGUCGCGGACGUGGUCGCAAUACUACUGGUCGUCGGGGACUACUGGUCGUGGACGUGCUUCCAUGCCCACGAUGGACUUCCCCCCAAUAAUGGUGUCUCCUCUUACAUUCGAUUGCACAUAUUACAUUGGAUCUACGAAUUGCCGCGUCCCGCGUAGAAGAAGAAGUAGAUAUCCCGUCAAUGGUAAGAUUAGUAAGCAGAUAUUUGUAUUUAGUGAUGCAUAUGAUAAAUUGACAGUGUCAAUUGUACUAUGACAGAAAUUCCUGAAAUUUCGCCUAUGCUUGCAACGCUGAUUCCACAGCGAGUGCCAGUUCCAAUACAAGUUGUGGAUGCUUCGUCGUCUAGACCACCCUUUCCUGUUCCUGAAUUUGUACUACAGGAACUUCAGACAUCUGGUCUACGCCCUAGACCCGAUGAAUACGUGUUUGGUCUUGGCACACCCUUCGCUGAGUCAGAUACGGAGAAGUCUGUAUUGAAGAAAAAGGCGACUCGGAAGAUUAAGAGAUGCGAGGUAUGAAGUUAAUGUUAUUGUUCGAUAGUAGUUGAUGUUAUUGUCCCCUUAUCAGGUAUUUUCAUUGUUCAAUUGUUGGUUAAUGUUAUUGUUCCGUUAGUAGUAGGUGAUUCAUUGCUCCCGUAGUAUGUGAGGUCAUGGUUCGUUAUGUAGUGCAAGGCGUUGUUCGUUGAUGUUGUGUAGUCGUUGUUCCUCAAAUCAUUAGUCCUCGCGUCGGUCCAUUCGUAGCUACUGAUGUCGUUUAUUACUAUAGUUUGACCUGUUAGAAUGACAAAAAAUUCUUCGUACAGGUCGCAGGUACAAGACAUCCCCUAUGACGGAGAUUUCCGACUCGUUCGAUCCAUCAACGAUUCAGUGCAACCAACUAGGAAAUGUACCGAAAGGUAAUUACGAUGCAGAGAAUGAAUCGUCAUUGCGUGAGGAGAACAUCGACGAGUUGGUUCGAGAAGUCGUCGAAGAAUACGUACUGAGGGUGGUUGCCGAAGUUGCCAGCCAGGAGGACGUAAUUAUUUUUGAUGUUGUUGUCGACUCUGUUGAAGGUAAAGUAUGUGUUUUCGUGAAAUUAAAGUUAUUUGACGUGGUUGAAGUAUUGUGCAUUAUGUAAUAGUAGUUGAUGUUGUCGCAACGGUUGAAACCAUUGUACUUGUAAUGGUUGAAUGUGAAGUUCACUUAGUUGGUAUAUCGAAUGUUCGUGAAGUGUUGUUGAACGUUGUUCCUAAAGUGUUUGAAACUAUUGUUCCUGAAAUGGUUGAAGAAAAGAUUCCUGAGGAUGUAAGAAGUAUUGUUCCUGAAGUGCUUCAAAACAUUGUUCCUGAAGUGGUUGUGGAAGAGGUUCCUGAUAAUGUGAGUAGCAUUGUUCCUGAAGUGCAUGAAGACAUUGUUCCUGAGGUGGUUGUUGAAGAGGUUCUUGAAGAUGUGAGAAGCAUUGUUCCUGAAGUGCUUCAAACCAUUGUGUCGGAAGUGCUUGAAGAAAAGGUUCCAGAAGAAGUGAUCGAGAAGCAUUGUUCCUGAGGUGCUUCAAACCAUUGUUCCGAAAGUGCUUGAAGAAGAGGUUCCUGAAGAAGUGAGAAGCAUUGUUCCUGAAAUGCUUAAAACCGUUGUUCGUGGAGAUGAAGUUGGAAAUGAAGUUGAUAUUGUUGAAGAUGAAGUUGUUGAAGAGGUUGGUGAAAGAUUAUUGUUGAAGCGAGGGUUGCCGUUGAAGACAUUCUUGACGUCCCUGACGUAGACGUUCUGUGUCCCCCAAAAUCCAAAGUGAAGAUUACUGCUGAAAAGAGAAGAUUAGAACCCCUCCUCAAGAUGAUUUGUUGGAUGAAGUAAGAAAUGUGAAAAUGUAGUUGCUUUUAAUUUUGAAAAUGAUGAAUGACUAUAACGACAUUCGUGAUAUAGAUGAUUAUGACAGACGCUGUGGAGAUUGCGUCUACUUUAGAAAGUUCAGAGUUCAGAAGACUUAGUGCAAGUAAGGUUUCCUUUUGAGUGUAUUCAUUUCCGUGAAUCUAAUUGUUUAGAAAGUGCUAUAAUUUGUUCAAACAAAUUUCUGAAAAUUGUAGAGAAAGUCAAAGACAUAGGCAAAGGGAAAGUAAAUGGUAAUGUUCAAAUAAAUUUUGCAAAUGAAAAUUGUUAUGACCAUAUGAAAUAUUAUAAAUUGUAGAGGUAGUCAUAUUGUCUGAUAGUCCGGUUACUAGAAGUCGUAGUAAAGGAAUAGCUGAGAAACGACCUUUGCAGAGUUGAAAGUUAGAAAUCAUUGGGUCGCACUCUCGGUUGAAGAAAGCAAAAACCGUUAGUGAUAGUAAGAUAACUCAAUUCUACCACUGUAAAUGAAAUAUGUUUUUCUAUCAUUUUAUAAAUUUGAGGUGAUAUUAUUUGUCUGAAUUGAUAUAUAGAUGAGGGUAGUCAUGCAUCAAUUGACGUUGAAAUGAAAGAGAAGUCGAAUAAGAAGAUAAGCAAGGCGUCUACCUCAAAGAAUUCUACGGAAACGAAUGUUUCGUUUCCUCGUGAAUUAACGCGAGGCACUGAGACUUGUAAGUUUAUCAUUGAAUAUUUAAAUAUUGUUGAUGUUAAUAAUGUUUUACUGCAACAUAAAAUAUGACUUCCUAUUUUUCGUUAUUUGCAGCUGCUUUCUUAAUUCAACACAGAUGUCGCAUCGCGACAUAUAUGACUGCAAUGAAGGAUGUCGCCUUAGAAAAGUCUGUGUCUGAAAGGAUAUUGGGAACUCCAUUCAGACACUUCCUGACAGUCCAGUCUAUGGUUGUUAACAGUUUUCAGUUGGACGAUUUAUGUGGGAGAUUUAUAAGUAAUUAUACUCUUGAAUUGAAGAAGAAGUGCGAGUGACUGUAGAAGAUGUGGGGAAAAUUCUCUCUAUUCCAUACAAAGGUACCUCCAUUGAUCUAAAUCGAGCUAGCAAUGGCACUCAGUUAUGGCGUAAAUUUUUCGAGAAGAGCAGGAGGACUAAGGGAAGACGCGCAACGACUAUCUCUUGGUACAUUUUUUAGUAUAUUGUAUAAUUUAAAAAAUAUUGUAUGAAUUUAAUGGUGUGACUGUCUAUGAAUGCAGCAAGGAUGCGAUUGCGACGCUGCAAAACCAGAGUAGAAUACCUUGCGCCUCAGAAGAGGAUGUAGACGACAUGUGUAGUCUUUGGUUAGUUGUAAUUUUUUGCACAUUUCUACUUCCAUCCAGCAAGAUGGGCUUAAAUGGCAGGGUGCUGUCUUACAUUGACAAUUUGAACGAGUUGCAUCUGAUUAAUUGGGUUGAAUGCGUCAGAUACCUCAUUUUUACAAAUAUGAGAGAGUGCAGAAAAGCAGUUUUAAAACGUGAGGAAGACAAAUCCAUUUCUAAACCAUAUCUCUUCGGUUGCACUCUAGUUCUAAAUGUAAGUAAUUAUUUGGAAGCACUAAUGUUUGUCAAUUUGAUAUUGAUAAUAGGUUCCUUUGGUUGCAGAUUUGGUUGUGGGAGCGUGUUGUUCUGUGGGUGAAGCCUAAACCGAGGGCCGACCAUGUGUAUGAGAAAUGACAGGGCGUACAAGACAAUCAUCGACAGACCCUACAAUCACUGAAGAGCCGUCAUGUAAGUAAAAAGAAGGCAUGACUUCCGACAUUUUAAUAUUUCAUUUAUUUUAGAACUUGCAGACAUUUAUAAAAUUUAAACGAACGUAGGUGUCAGUCAUGCCUUCGAUCAUCUUAUGAACUUGAAUGUCCGUCGGAAGAAGACGAUUCAGAUGAAGAAGAAGUCAUUGAAAGAUCAAGUGCAAGCGAUGAAGAGGAUUUCGACUCUCAGGUCUAUGAUCUUCUAACGCCUCAAUUUAUUAAAACCGACUAUGAGAGGUUGUGUAAUUGUAAAUAGUACAAUAUUUCGAAGAAAAAAUGUUGUUGGUUAAUGAAAAUGUAUUUUUUGAAAUAUAGCUUGAAAUAGUUUUGAUUAUUAUAGGUCGAAAGUUGUUACAGGAAUGAUUUCAUCCCGUACGUGAAAGUGGUUAAGAUUGAGGAAUCGCACGACAAGUUGUCUGAAUUAUCCGGUUUGACGGGAUUCAUGAGUCCGGUACGUAGAAGUGAAGAAUACAAUAUUGGACGACAUAUUAAAAGAUUGAGGAAAUCGUUCGACAGUAGUCCUGUUGAAAGACGAUAUGUUGUUCCAAUUGAGCAUAGUCCAGUACUGACAGCCUCCAAUAGUCGUGUUCCCGAAGAUGAGGUUGUUGUUGUUCCUAAAUUCGAAAACAGUCUUCCUAUGGUAGACUUAAUCACACCGGAAGACGGUAAGGCUAGAGAUGAUGUUAUAUAUGUACUUAGCCUGAUAGAGAGUGAUGAGACGCAUCUGAAGAUUAAGAAAAUAGAUUUGAAGAGAGUGGGUAGAAAAUUAAAGUACGACCAUUUGGUUGAGUGUCCUGUUAUUAAAAUGACUGGAAAAGAAUUUGUAAACAUAAUGAGUGGUUAUUUCGAAGUCUGCCCAAGCCGCUUGACAUUUAGUCCGCCGGAUAAGAACAGUUCGCUGGCUGAUUACAUUGAGAAUUCGAAUGGUCCGAUUUCGGAAGAUACAUUAUUCGAGGACCUGCAAGUACAUCUGAGGUGUAAUGCGUCUCUAAAACCUCCAUGGUCUUACUGUAAGUCUGUUCCCUUUACUCCUAAACGUAGGACGACACCAAAACAUUUGCGAAAGAAAAUGUCGGACUAUUGGAGGUUAGACGAGUUCGGAGUACUCCAAAUCCGGACACCAAAGACCACGACAGCACCUGUUGACGGUUCCCCGAAGACCCCCGAAGGAGUUGGUAAAGUUUUGGAGUACUCUCCAAAAUUUUGGGAUUCAGCGAUUUGACAUUGUUCUCAAAUUGAAACCAAUAUUGCUAACGAAGAACACCAUGAGGUGGAAUUAGAAGAAAGCAAAUCUGAAAAAUCAGGAAUGGAUGUGGGAGAAAGUAAUGAGGGCAGAGUCAAUGAAACCUUGACGUUUGAAGUAAUUGACGGACCGGGAUAAGAUUUGAAAACCUUUGUUCAUUACAAUAUGAUUUGAUUGCAUCAAUUGUCCGCCAAAUGUUGUAGGUGUAAGAAAAAAAAUUAUUGCUACAACAAUCGUUGUUGCAAUGGUCAGGACAUUGUCGGCAUUGCAUAGAAGAAAGUCUACAACGAAAGGGUGAGAAAUUAUUCCGAUGCGUAAAAAAAAAAGUUCUAUUUAAAAAUGUUUGACUUGUUUUGGAACAGAGAGAGAUUGUCAGAUUGCAAUGAUAUUGAUGGAUAAAGUGUCAGAAAGUGACAAUUUACUUAAGAGCUAGUCUAGAAUUUUCUUCUUUUAACAGCAUGUGUUCUUUCGAACUGAGAAGUAACAUGUAGAAGUUUGUUUUCCCUAACAUGAGAGGUUCCCUCAUAUAUGUAAGUCUUUCAGAGCUUUCCAUACCUUGUGUGUUGUAUCUACACACUGAAUCCUACUGUACUCAGAUUCAUUAAGUACACCGUAGAGUGAGUUUAAUGCUCUUGAGUUGUUGUAUUCUUUGAGAAUAUUUAUUUUUUCAUAAGUCUUUUCUUUGCUUGUUGGAAUCUCAUAAUCUUCCAAUAUGAUUUUCCACACUCCAUUGUUGAUUGACUUCAAGUAUAACUUUAUCUUGUUUUUUCAGAAAUCAUACUUUAAUUUGAUCCGUUGAACAUGAGAGGUUUGUUCGACGCAAGACCACUACUGUGUCCACCAUUAAUUUGAUGUCAUAGUUGUUGAUGUGGGAUGUUAAUCUGAUUUCAACGGUACUUGAUUCUGAUACCACUUAUUGGAUCAUGAUCCAAGGAUAAAAGGGGAGUUAUAAUAGUCUCUUUUCGUGUUUUACAGAUUAUUAACGGAAUUUACCUGUAAAUACUUAAUAAAAUAAGAUUGAAAAGUAAUAAUAUUAUAUGACUUAAUUUAAUGGACCAAAUGACUGAAUAUAAAAUUGAAAUAGAAAAUUAAACUUGACCAGAUGAUUGGAUAUGAAUUUAAACAAGAAUGUUAACCUCAGAUAACUGACCAGAUUACUGGAUGAAAGAUCUCUGAAAAUAGUAAACCUCUUUUCUUUGACUAGAUAACUGGAAGAGAGAAUCUUUUAAAUUUGUUAUUACUUAAUUGGUUUUAGGCAAUUAAUAAUAUGUAAGCUUAAAUUAAAACUAACAAAGAAUAACACAAGCUACAUUGAGGAAACCAUAUAUAAAGCAUAGAAUAGCUAGCUUUUGGGAAAACCAGAUCCGAUCCCCUUUUCAUUUCAUAUCAUUGUCUUUAUAUAGUUUUAUAUUUAACUGAUAUUCAGUUAUUAUUUAAUCUAGAAUCAUCUAAAACUGUCAUACUACUGAUUCGUAUAUUUGUUAUUGCGUUUACAUAAAUUAAAACUAACAAAGAGUAACACAAAAGAUUUACAAUGGUUCAUCCAAAUAAGUGUUAACCAAAUCCUAAUAAAAUCGGAGAUUACUGGUCUAAAAAUUAUAGCAAUAAGCGGCGAAUCCAGGAUUUUUUUUCUUCAAGGGCUAAUUUUAAAUCAUUUAAUCAAAUUCAAAAAAAUAAAAAAAAAUCAAUCCAAUUGUUCUCGACGAGGUGUCAUUCGUUCUUUAGUAGAUAUGUCUCGAGCUUCAUCAAGUAAUAAUGAAAAAUAAGAAUCAUUAAGUUUUUCAAUCAAUUUCUUCGUUGUUUCCUCAGCUGCACAACGACAUAUUUGUUUUUGAACUGUUGAGCUAGAAAGUGUAUUAUUUUUAGGAGCAUUGUCCCACAAUUUUUUAAAAUCAGCAUGGAUUUCCCCCAAAGCCUUCCAAAAACCCAAAUAAUUGUCUCGAUUCAAUAAACUUUCUGACUCAUUAUGACCACAAAAUGCUUGACCAUAAAUUAAGAGAUAUUUAACAAUAACAAUUAUAGUUUGUAACUUCUGUUUGUAUUCUGCCCGAGCCACUGAAGAAUGUCGAUCGAAAUGAGUUUCAAUGUGUUGAUUUUGAUUCAUCAAAAAUUCACAUUUACUCUUUGCAACAUUGUGAUGACUAUUAUUGAUUUCUUCCAACAUGUUGUUUCAAAUAUUCUGGUUUAUUUUAUUUAGAAAAACCUCUAGCUGCAAAACAUGAUCAAUCUAAAAGGAAAAACAACAUUAAUGAUUAAAAAAAUCAAUUAAGUUAUAAAGAAAUUAAUAAACAAAUUUUACUUACAAGUAAAAGCAGUUUCAUUUGUUUUCGGGAAUAAAUAACAACAUAAACAAAAAACGACGUCUUUUAAAAUGUUAUAUUCAAUCCAUGAUUCAUAUUUGUCAAACCACAAUACACAAAAUCUUCUAGAUUGAUUUUUAAUCCUCUUCAAUGGAAAUUCAGGUUGGCGUGGUUGACAAGGUUUCUUUUGUAAAUAAUAUCUUCUUAUUUAAUCUCGAUCAUUUAGAUGAUAAUCAUUUGGAUGAUAAUCAUUUGGAUGAUAAUCAUUUAUCUUCUUUUGCAAUCUCGGAUCGAAAGGUAAAUUACUUACAUCGAGUCGCCCUUUAGAUGGUGUGGAUUAGAUAAUGGAGUUUAAAUUGGUUGAUUUAUUUUAGGUCUUUUGAUCACAAAUUUAUCCAUUGAUUAUCUAUAUAAAAAAAAGAUUUAUAUUAAUAACAAAUUUAACAAUAAAAAAUGUAGACAAAAAUACCUUUAUUAUUUUUCUUUGUAUGAAGCUAUGGUCACGAAAUCACGUGAAAUGGAGAAAAAGAAGUCAAAAAUUAAAUGAAUAGUGUGGAGAUGGAGGAAAAAAAUGAGGAAUAAAGAACGAAAUUUUUAAAUUCCUAAAUAUAUAUGGACAAUUAUGGUAAAUAUAGUAAUAAAUUAAUUAUUAAUAGGAUAAUGAUUUAUAAACAAAAUAUUUUAUAUUAUUAUAUUAUAUUAUAAAAAUAAAAUAAAAUAUUAUUAUAUCUUAUAUUAUUAUAUUAUAUUAUAUUAUAUUAUAAUAUAUUGUAUUGUAUUAUUAUAUUGAUAUAUUAAACAUUUAAGCGGUGGAGAUGGAGAUGGUGAUGGGAAACAAAUUUCUAUACCUAUAAGAUUUUUUAUUUUAUUUUUGUAAGGAUCCUCAAAUCCCCCUACAUUCGCUGCUGAUGACAAUACCUUUCUUUUGUAAACUUUUUGGCUACACCACUUACGAACCUAGUCUAUUACGUUGACUUAAACUUUAGAGUAUUUAAAGACACUCUUAAAAACCUUUAUAAACUUUUAUACUACUCCGUUUAUGAACCAGUCUUUUACGGGUAAACUCACACCUUAUAGUAUUUAAAGACACUCUUAAAAACCUUUCAAAUCUUUGCAGGUAGACUUGAAACUUUAGAUUAUUCAAAAACACUUUUAAAAAUCUUUGAAUCUUUGAUAUAGAUUAACUUAAGAGCAUUUCAAAAAACUAUAAAAAACCAAACUUAAGAGUUUUUUGUUUCUACGGUUGAAUGAGAAAACUGGUCUGGGUCAUAUACGGCCCAAGAAGCCAAAAGUCCAACCACACAUCGGCUCUGAACAUAGACUCACGCAUUUUUAGACUAACCCUAGUUUGAGCACUUUCCGCACCUACUACAAAAUCUUUAAUUCAAUAACGGUUAACCGUCUCAUCUCAACCGUCUAUUCCGUUAAAUGGUUUCCGUUUAUAAAACCACACCUCGAUUCACGAAUCUCAAAUCAAUGGUUUUUUAAUUUCUUAUUCCCUUUCUUUCUUUCUUUCUUUCUUUCUUGUAGAUUUCGUCCUUACCAAACGACGGGCGACGGUUAUGGUUGCGGCGUUUGUUUUGAUUUUUUGGUGCAGGUAGAUUUUCUUUGGUCAUCUCGGUUAUGCUGUCAUGGUGGAUUUGCAUUCCCUUCGGAUCCAGAUCUGAUCAAGGCGAUUUAGCGGAGAAAAAGAAAGGAUGCUGCCUGCGAUCUCGAUUUGACUUUUUAGCAAAUGAUGGUGAACGAUUGAUUGAUUCUCUUUGUUGAUGAAUUGUCGAUUAAUGUGUAUUUGUGAUUACGAUGUGUCAUAACAACUCGAUCUUUGCCAUGUUGGGUGCGCUCGCAUGGCAGAUCACCGGAAACUUUAAUAAAGUUCAGUUUUUUUGGUUGGGAGAGAAGACCACGGUUGGAUAGUUUUUUUUAUAUCCCCGGGGUCUUUCUCUCCAUGGUGGCAUGGUCUUUAUUUUUUUUAUCGUCUUUUUCCAUGGUUUCUGUUUCGUCUCUUUCUAUCUAUCGUCUCACGACAAGAGUUUUCCGAUCGAUUCGAUUCUGAGCCAGGUCGAACUGGUAAAUGAUUUAUUUUUCAUAAGUCGAUUCCAUACGUUCCCUCAAAUCACAAACCCCCAAAAAUUGCAUACCAUCAUUAAAUUAUUCAUACUAAAUUAAUUGCUCACGGAUCUAAUUUACUGUGUAUUGAAGAAUUUGAUGUCGUUUUCUAUUUUUUUUGUUUGUUAAUUUUGUCAAUUGUAAAUUUUCUAUCCUACAUCUGUAAGAGUUUUUUUGUACCUCCAUAUUUGUUACAUUUGUAUAAUUUAUUUGCUGUGCAAAGUCUUGACGGUUGCUGUUUGUGGCUCGUGGCUUGAUGAUGUAUUGAUUGAAGAAAAUCUUGCUAUGGAUGGUGGAAGAGUGGCUGGUUGCUGUUUGUUCCCGUGACUUGAUGAUGUUUUGUUUGAAAGAAAAUCUUGCUGUGGAUGAGGGAAGACUAACUGGACUGCACAGGUUGUUUUAAUUACAACUUCACAAUUUCUACAUUACUCUUCUUUUUGUCAGAAAUUAAGUAUCUGGGUUUAUAUUUUUCAAUCAUUGUGAGUUUUUCAUUUUUUUCUUAAUACAGUUUUAUCCUAUUUUGGUUAUUUACAGUAAUUUGCUCAUUAAUCUGGCUUUCAAUUUAUUUCAAUAUCUUUAAAUAUUACACUUCUUUUUGUCAGAAAUCAAGUACUGAGUUUAUAUUUUUCAAUCAUUGUGAUCUUUUCAUUUUAUUGGUAAAACAGUUUUAUCCUAUUUUUGUUAUUUUCAGCAAUUUGCUCAUUAAUUCGGCUUUCAAUUUAUUUCAUUCUCUUUACAUAUUACAUGAUUCAGAAGACCCAAUUGUUCUUUAACUCCGCCCAUGGUGUAUUAGAAGUAAACCAUUGCCGGUCCCCAGCCCGGAACAAAGGAGGAGGGAAGGAUAUCAUAUUUAUGGUAGAUCGUUGUUUUUUUUACUCUUAUGAUUUUUUUAAUCCCAGUAGUUACAUAUUUCUAAAUAUUUGAGUGAUUUUACCAUGAUGAAAAGAUAUGGGAGGUGGAAUGCCUAUGAUCGUCAAUUCACUUGAUCAUUGAAGUCGUCCUGCUGGAGUUUGAUGAUUUUGUUUCACAAUUUACAUAUAGAAUUACUUGUUUACUAUUUGAACUUGAUUCUUGGUAUUAAAAUAAUUAAAACUAUUGUUUGUUAUUAGAUAUUUUAAUCAGAUUAAUUUUAUAAUUCAAUCGAAAAAUGUAUUGUGUUGGUUCGUGAUUUGUUAAGAUUUCAUAUUUUAUUAUUGAAAGUGCUAAUAGAAG
rnacentral:lncRNA from 1 species